CUAACCGCCCAGCCUACUGAUUGAGGAUGAUCUAGUUUGAUACGGGUCAACUUAGGUGUGAAGCCCCUGUGCCUAGUGGAUAAAGGAUAAUAAACCCCACCUCCCAAUGGGUAUUUGUCUUUUGGAAAGUUGGUUAGGGGCAAUGGUCCUAAUAUGUGGUAUCAAAGCGAGGUUGCAAGUUCAAAAUCUGACGGGCCCCCAGAGUGUUAAAAAGAAAAAUAUCACUGGGGAGAGGAAUUGUUGUGCAAGAUUUUAGCGCACAUUUGGUGAGACCCAAGGAGAAGUUGGUAGUCGAAGAGGACUCAG
rnacentral:lncRNA from 1 species